AGCGUCGUGGAAAGGUAGGAGCAACUAUCCCUGGGGCUUGGUGAUGGCUGGGAGGCCGGGUUCUCAAGAGCAAAGCAAGGAUAGGGGCACCGGUAGCCUCCCGCCGCCGUCUCAACGGCCUCUGGGCCCAUCCCCUGAGGGGGCGGGGCCGUCUCCUCCACCUCCCGGUAUUCCCCGAGGAGGCGGCUCCUCAUCCUCCGAGGGUCCUCACAGCUACUUUUUGUCCCUCGUCGAUUCCCAGCUCCUCAGAAGGGGCUUCCCUCUGACACCCCUCAUUCAAAGGCACCUCCCACCCCGCACCUCAGCCUUGGCGGAGAGGACUCACAGGUACCGAUUCUCUAGGCUGCCGCCCCCAACCCCAUUUCGUACCCCCGGAAGGCCAAACAUCCCUCCCUACACCUGUCCCUGCUCGCCAGGGUGGGACUGGAGCUGCUUUCCUCCGUAAGAUAAAAUUGGUGUUUCCCAAAAAGGAGGGAUGGGGCGAAGCAAAAAUCAAAGACCGACCUAGACAGCCAGCUUUACGGAGGAAGCGGCUUCUCCCACUUAAGUUCUUCCCAUCCCCCAUUCUCUGAUGCUCAGUCUUCCUCCCGCAGCCCCUCGCAUCCUCUGGCCUCUUGUGAGGAGUCGAGAGCUCUCCUGUUUUGGGACUGUUUUGGACUGUGAAAGAGGGAGAACUAGGACCUCCUCUCCUUCACCCUUUGUACCUUCCUUCUACUUUCUGUUCCUUCUGGGAGCACCCAGCCUCUAAGGGUUUCUUAGGUUUGAAUUGCGUUUCAUUUUUCCUUUUCCACCCUAUUUCCUCCCUGAGAACUUGAUGAAAAGCCAUCUUAUAUUUCACAGUGAGGUGGGUGUGUUGGAUAUCUGCAGAGCUGGCUUUGUGUGGGCAGGAAUGCAGUAUAUGUUGCUUGACAGUCAAUGAAUAACACCAUGUUUUCAAAUGAAACAGUAUACAUAAGUAAAUAAGUAGCAGUGGAUUAGGAAUGAGUAUAUCCCAGUCUAGGGUGGGCUGGUCCAUUGCUCAGGGAGACUGCAGUUAACCUUGAAGGUAUACUGCAGGUUGAAACAAAAGACAGGAAGUGUUUGAAGAAAAUUCAGGGUCAGUCAUCUAGGUUUAUGAUUAAUCUAGUCCUAUGUCCUUUGGUAACUCUCUAACCCCUUUUUUAUAGUGUCCUCCCCGCCCCCAGGAAACAUUCAUGUAUAUUUUGAUUGGUUUUACGAUCAUCUAUCAAAAUUUAGAGGAUGAAAAGUAAGAACAAUUUUUAAAUCUCAGAGAUAAGAGUAAAUAAAGGCAAGGUAUUCUAGCUAUUCAUGUUUACCAAAAAGUGCCUCUUCUAGUGUGCUCCUAAAGGUUUUGUCAAGUGGUCUUCAUUUCAGCAGGUGCAAAGUGUUGAUUUUGACCUCAUGUUAAUGUCGUUGAAUCCCCAGUAAUCAUCUAUUGCUAGCGCUUUUAUAUAUUAAAAUUUACCAUGUUUUUAGCAUAGUUUCUUUUGCUUCCAAUCUCAAGUCUACCUCCCCUCUGUCAGCUAUAGCCAAAGCUGAUGGCAAUAAAAUGCAAGGAGUUGGAAUCACGGAGGGUGAUUGUAAUGACUGUUGUCUUUUACCUUCUUGAUUAGACUUUCUGAAGGUAGACUUCCUAAAGAUAAUUACUUUUGAAUAGUUAGGUUUGAAGUUUUCAGAGCCACUCGGUGCUCACAGGUCUUCUCAGUGAUUGUUUCCAAAUCUCCAGUAAGAAAGUACAAAGAAGAAACUGGAGGGUGUCUCUAGCAAACGCAAUGUGUGCUGCAAUAGAAGGGUAAGACGUGAGCUCCCAGCAAUAACAGCAGAAAAAACUAAAAGCAGAACAGAAAAUCCCAAAAAGAUAAGUUGUAUUAUAUCAACAGAGAACAGAAAAUAAACUAAGGUAAGAGACUAAGCAAACCAAAGUUGUGAUUGCCGAGGUUUAAUAGGAAAAAGCAAAUAAUAUUCUUUUAUUAUUUAGCACAGUAAGCAAGAUCUGUUUGUUACACUUUUGGGUCUUGAAAAUCUUUCCUUUAACCUUUUCAACACCUGUUUGGUCAUGCUAGGUGAAGAAAAGCAUAGUAUGCAGAGGAUAGAUGUCUGAUCUCUCUCCUUGAAUUAUAAAUUCUUUGAGGGCAGAUAGUAGUAUUUUUUGUUUUUCAUCUUUAUAUCUUUCACAGUUCCUAGUAUAUAGUAUGACUUCAUGAGUGUUUGUUUAACUUAGUUUGAGGCUGUCACCUUAGGGUAGACUGAAAGGCAAUGUACUGAUUAGAUUUGGCACAAUUUGUUAGUAUAAACGGCCUACUUGUUGUCUUCAUUUAACUUGAUUUUCCCCAUCUUCUGUCUUAUGAAAUUCCAGUGUCUUAAGUGACUAAAAUUUUGAAUUUCUUAUAAAGAAAUAUCUGUGAGGCAGGGUGUGGUGGCUCAUCCCUGUAAUCCUUGCUACUUGGGAGGCUGAGGCAGGAGGCUUGCUUGAGCCCAGGUGUUUGAGGUUACAGUGAGCUAUGAUCAUGCCACUGCACUCUCCAGCCUGGGCAGCAGAAAGAGACCCUGUCUCUUAAC
rnacentral:lncRNA from 1 species